rnacentral:rRNA from 1 species
AGGACGAACGCUGGCGGCGUGCUUAACACAUGCAAGUCGAGCGGAAAGGCCCUUCGGGGUACUCGAGCGGCGAACGGGUGAGUAACACGUGAGUAACCUGCCCCUAGCUCUGGGAUAGCUCCGGGAAACCGGGAUUAAUACCAGAUACGACCACUUUAGACAUCUGUCGUGGUGGAAAGGAUUCCGGCUAGGGAUGGGCUCGCGGCCUAUCAGCUUGUUGGUGGGGUAACGCCUACCAAGGCGACGACGGGUA